rnacentral:rRNA from 1 species
AAUAGAUACCCGGGUAGUCCACGCCGUAAACGUUGGAUACUAGGUGUGGCGUCCCGAUCAACGGAUGCCGUGCCGAAGCUAACGCAUUAAGUAUCCCGCCUGGGGAGUACGGCCGCAAGGCUAAAACUCAAAGGAAUUGACGGGUCCCCGCACAAGCGGCGGAGCAUGCGGCUUAAUUCGAUGCAACCCGAAGAACCUUACCUGGGUUUGAAAUCAUGGGAAAAGCUGUAGAAAUACAGUGUCCGUAAGGGCCCAUGACAGGUGGUGCAUGGCUGUCGUCAGCUCGUGUCGUGAGAUGUUGGGUUAAGUCCCGCAACGAGCGCAACCCUUGUCCUAUGUUGCCAGCGGUUCGGCCGGGGACUCAUAGGAGACUGCCGGGGAUAACUCGGAGGAAGGUGAGGACGACGUCAAGUCAUCAUGCCCCUUAUAUCCAGGGCUGCACGCAUGCUACAAUGGUCGGUACAACGGGCAGCGACCCCGCGAGGGUGAGCGAAUCCCACAAAGCCGGCCUCAGUUCGGAUUGGAGUCUGCAACUCGACU